rnacentral:misc_RNA from 1 species
GAGCUGAAGACUAUCUCGGACCUUAUGAAAGAAGAAACACAGGGUAGAAAGAAAGUUGUAGCAAAUCUAGCCAAUGAAAUUGACAUGAAAAAUGAAAAUCUGGAUGAGCUGCAGACAAAAUUCAAUUUGAAUACACUGUCUCUUCGUCAGAUGCUCGCGGAGAAAGACAUGCUACACCGUUCUUUUUUUGAAGAAUCACGGAAGAUGCAACGCCUUGCACGUGAGCAUGUACAGAAGGUCCUGAUGGAGCAAGAAAUGUUAAGCAUAGAGCUGGAGAGCAAGAAGAAGAAGCUUGAUUCUUGGGUCAGAGAACUGAAUAAACGUGAAGCCUUAACUGAGCGAGAAAAGCAAAAGCUUGAUGAGGAGAAGAAACAGAAUGAUGUGAGAAAUUCAGCACUUCAAAUGGCCUCUGUGGAACAAAGAAAAGCUGAUGAGAAUGUCUUGAGACUGGUUGAAGAACAAAAGAGGGAGAAGGAGGAGGCCUUGAAAAAGAUUCUUGAGCUAGAGAGGGACAUUGAUGCCAAGCAAAAACUGGAAAUGGAAAUAGCAGAACUUAAAGGAAAACUAGAAGUUAUGAAACACCUUGGAGGCAACGACGAUGCAGCUGUACAGAAUAAGAUUAAAGAGAUGAACGAGGAGCUGAAAGAUAAAAUGGAGGAGAUGGAUGGUAUGGAGUCCCUAAACCAGACUCUCCUGAUGAAAGAGCGCCAAAGUAAUGAUGAGUUGCAAGAUGCACGGCGCACAUUAAAAGAGGGAUUGAUUGAAGUAUUGAGCAGUGCGCGAGCCCAUAUUGGGAUAAAAAGAAUGGGGGAAAUUGAUUCAAAGGCCUUCCAGAAUGCACUGAAGCAGAAGUUCCCGAAUCAGGAAGCUGAAAUCAAGGCUGUAGAACUUCUCUCUCUGUGGCAGGAAAAAAUAAAAGAUCCUGACUGGCAUCCCUUUAAAACAAUCAUGAUUGAUGAGUCGAAUGUGGAGAGGGUGAUAGAUGAGAAUGAUGAAGAACUGGGAAAGCUAAAGCAGGAAUUUGGGGAUGAAAUUUAUGAUGCGGUGACCGUAGCUCUGAAGGAGAUAGAGGAAUACAAUCCUAGCGGUAGGUACGCGAUUCCUGAGCUAUGGAAUUUCAAGGAAGGAAGGAAGGCCACACUGAAGGAAGUAAUCAGUUACAUUUUCAAGCAAGUGAAGGCACAAAAACGCAAGAGAUAGCUGGGUUUUUGUAUUUAACUGGUUGGGGUUGCCUCUAUAUGUUUUUAAAGAUGCUUGUAAAACCAUGUAUGUCCGACUCUAUGUAGAUCAUUCCUUUCGCCUUUUCUGUGGAGUCAAAAAUAAGACUACCGUCUAAGAUAAGCCAUUGGGAUUGGUACUGCAUUUGAUGGCCUAUCAGUUUUAUUUUAAAUUGUGACAUGCAAU